GGGUUGUUAGCUCAGUCGGUAGAGCAGCGGACUUUUAAUCCGUUGGUCGCAGGUUCGAAUCCUGCACAACCCACCA
rnacentral:tRNA from 26 species